rnacentral:lncRNA from 1 species
UCAGCGAAAUUCUGCACCAACAAAAUUGGCGCUAGAGGAAGGGCUGUGUCUUCACAGUAGCCUUGUUCUUAAAGGAGUACUCAAUAAGACUGUCUUCGAUCAUCUUCUUCGAUAUUUUUUCCUUCUUCUCUUGCCAGAUCUCCACCUGAUGCCUCCCCGAAAGGCAUCCACCAGGCGAUCUACGGCCUCCACAGCCAGAUCUCAACGAGCCUCGCAAGCUCCGACCUCGUCUCCAAUUUUCCAGGCUCCUCCACCUCCGGUAAUGACAGUCGGCAUAGAGCAGU